rnacentral:tRNA from 1 species
GCGGGUAUGGCGGAACUGGUAGACGCGCCACUUUGAGGUGGUGGUGGGCUUUGCCCUUAGGAGUUCGAAUCUCCUUACUCGCACCA